UACGUAGGGUGCGAGCGUUAAUCGGAAUUACUGGGCGUAAAGCGUGCGCAGGCGGUUUGCUAAGACCGAUGUGAAAUCCCCGGGCUUAACCUGGGAACUGCAUUGGUGACUGGCAGGCUAGAGUAUGGCAGAGGGGGGUAGAAUUCCACGUGUAGCAGUGAAAUGCGUAGAGAUGUGGAGGAAUACCGAUGGCGAAGGCAGCCCCCUGGGCCAAUACUGACGCUCAUGCACGAAAGGCGUGGGGAGCAAACAGG
rnacentral:rRNA from 1 species